CGACCCUGGUUUCUCUUCAUUACCACAAGCCUUUCGCCUUUUACUAAAGACUUCCGUGGAGAGGAACACUUACGAGUUCAACGUAUUUUUGGAAGGGCUUGUUAUCUUGUUU
rnacentral:snRNA from 1 species